UUGGAGGGCAAGUCUGGUGCCAGCAGCCGCGGUAAUUCCAGCUCCAAUAGCGUAUAUUAAAGUUGUUGCAGUUAAAAAGCUCGUAGUUGAACUUCGGGAUCAAUGGAUUGGUCAUGCCGAUGGUAUGUACUGGUCAUAUUGGUUCUCACCUUCUAAGGAACCAUAAUGUCAUUCAUUUGAUGUUUUGGGGAAUUAGGACUGUUACCUUGAAAAAAUUAGAGUGUUUAAAGCAGGCUAACGCUUGAAUACAUUAGCAUGGAAUAAUGAAAUAGGACAUCCGAUUCUAUUUUGUUGGUUUCUAGGAUCGAUGUAAUGAUUAAUAGGGAUAGUUGGGGGCAUUAGUAUUCAAUUGUCAGAGGUGAAAUUCUUGGAUUUAUUGAAGACUAACUACUGCGAAAGCAUUUGCCAAGGAUGUUUUCAUUAAUCAAGAACGAAAGUUAGGGGAUCGAAGACGAUCAGAUACCGUCGUAGUCUUAACCAUAAACUAUGCCGACUAGGGAUCGGAUGAUGCUUAUUUUUUAAUGACUCAUUCGGCGCCUUACGGGAAAC
rnacentral:rRNA from 1 species